UCUUCUUCUCUCCUUUCCUGAAAUCGAAAAGGGGUUAGGUUAAAAUCAAAGCAUUUUUCCUUCCACCGAUUUUCAGUUAAAACUUUUACCAAUUAUCUCCAUUAGAUUAUUUCUCUUCCUUAAUUCAAAUAGUUAUUUCUCAGAUCAGAGAUCUUCUUUCCGAGAGACUGAUGAAAUUAGUUCAGAUUUGCAAUCGCGAAGUCCGGCUUCAUCCCGAAGGGGUCCGUAUCGAUUCCAUCUCGCAUUAUCUUCUUAAGACUGUCUUCUGCGCUUGCUACUCAAUCGUCUCCUAUAUCUCUUUGUUGAGAGGGCUUUUGAUAAAAGUUGGAUAACCUCAGAGAAGUAUAUACGACGAAUACUCUUCUACUCAGAAUACAUUGGCCACGAAUUAUAAUUACCAUUGCUACCUUUCAUGGGCUAAUGAUUAUUACAGUGUAACACGGACUGCAAACUUAUUUGUAGAGGCAUGCAAGUCAUCCAAGAAGGAAUGAACAGCCAUCGCAGACAACAGAUACAGAGAUUUUUCGUAUAAUGCAUAUUUGGAAAUUAUUUGUUUCCAGAAAUAAUGGAGGGCAACGCUGAUCCCAUGAGAUAUUCCAGAAAUUGGUCGACAUAGCUAUAAAAAAAUCUAUCAAACUACCAAAAAUAUAAUGCAAUUGACUCCAAUCUCUACAAAAGAUAAGUAUUUACGUUUUUGUACUAUAUGUUGUUUUAAUACUAAAGUUCUCUGACGGUAAAUUAUACAUUUAGUUGGCUUACGGUUUUUUUUUAUAAUGAUAGGUACUUUGUUUAAAAGACGACAACGUAUUACUUAACAGCAAUGGCGGGAAUUAGGAAGCUCUUGUUCAACGACGGUCAAAUUCUUCCAAAGGGAACAGAUUAAUGUUAACCGUAGAGGUCAAGAAGGAGAAGAAUAUACUUGCUGCAGGAAUUUGAGACCUAAGAAGAGCUUUACUACAGAUUUAUUCAGUUCAAGAAAGAUGUCAGAAGCAAUGAACGCAAUUGUUGCAGAUGAAGCUGACUGAACACUAUCAUGUUCCUUCCAGGUGUAAGAUCGUGACGAUGAUCUCUUUAGCGUUGAAACGUAACUGCCGACUUUGUUUUCAGUAUACUUGGAUCGUAUGAUGCUUUAUAUAUUCACUAACUUUCAUUUUGUAAAUUAUGUAAAAGUUAAACCAUAUAUUACGACAGAAAUGGUAAUAUAAUGUUGGUCUUUUA